GGGAGUUAAGAAGAGCGUAUGGUGGAUGCCUAGGCACUUACAGGCGAAGAAGGACGCAGCAAACAGCGAAAUGCUACGGUAAGCGGUAAGCACGCGUAAAGAGCCGUAGAUCUCCGAAUGGGGGAACCCGCUUAUCAAGAGAUAAGGAUUGUAAAGUGAAUACAUAGCUUUAUAAGGCAAGACCCAGGGAAGUGAAACAUCUCAGUACCUGGAGGAAAAGAAAAUAAGAAUGAUUCCCAGAGUAGCGGCGAGCGGAAUGGGAAGAGCCCAAACCGAUAUACAUGUAUAUCGGGGUUGUAGGACCUUUAAGAAGAGAAAAAAGGGAUAGAGUAGACGAAAUGGUUGGGAAGCCAUACCGGAGAAGGUGAGAGUCCAGUAGUUGAAGGUUUAUCCACUCAAGAAGGCACCUGAGUAGGUCGGAACACGAGGAAUUCCGAUUGAAGCAUCGAGGACCAUCUCGAAAGGCUAAAUACGAGUAAGUGACCGAUAGUGAACCAGUACCGUGAGGGAAAGGUGAAAAGAACCCAGGAAUGGGAGUGAAAAGAACCUGAAACCAUAUGCUUACAAGAAGUUAGAGUCCGUUAAGGGAUGAUAGCGUGCUUUUUGUAGAAAGAGCCGGCGAGUUAUGAUGUAGUGCAAGGUUAAGUUGAAGAGACGGAGCCGAAGCGAAAGCGAGUGAGAAAAGCGCGAGAGAGUAGUAUGUCAUAGACCCGAAGCUGUGUGAUCUAGCCAUGUGCAGGAUGAAGUUAAGGUAAUACUUAAUGGAGGACCGAACCGACUCAUGUUGAAAAAUGAGCGGAUGACGUGUGGCUAGAGGUGAAAUUCUAAUCGAACACAGUAAUAGCUGGUUCUCCCCGAAAUAGCUUUAGGGCUAGCCUAUGUUGAUAUGAGGUGGAGGUAGAGCACUGAAUGUGUGAUGGGGCCAACUCGGCUUACUGAAUACAAUCAAACUCCGAAUGCCAUUGAUAUAAGACAUGGAGUCAGACUAUGGGUGAUAAGGUCCAUAGUCGAAAGGGAAACAGCCCAGACCGACAGCUAAGGUCCCAAAGUGUGUGUUAAGUGGGAAAGGAAGUGGAAACGCAGAGACAACGAGGAGGUUGGCUUAGAAGCAGCCAUCCUUGAAAGAGUGCGUAAAAGCUCACUCGUCGAGUGAUUCUGCGCCGAAAAUGUAACGGGGCUAAAACAGACCACCGAAGCUUCGGAAUUAUGAAAAUAAUUGGUAGGGGAGCGUUCUCAUUGGGAAGAAGGCAUACCGGAAGGAGUGCUGGACAGAUGAGAAGUGAGAAUGCCGGCGUGAGUAGCGCAAGUGAGGAAAGAAACCUCACCGUCGCAAGUCCAAGGUUUCCUCUGGAAGGUUUGACCGCAGAGGGUUAGUCGGGACCUAAGGCGAGGCCGAAAGGCGUAGUCGAUGGAAGACAGGUAGAUAUUCCUGUACUAUGAUAGUUUGUAUGACGAUGGAGUGACGAAGAAGGUGAAAGACGCUAACGGAAAGGAAGCGUUAGUCUAAGCAAUGAGUUUGGUAUGUAGGGAAAUCCGCAUACUGGGAAGAAUGAGUUGUGAUGGGGAAACACAGCGAUGUGUGAAGGUGAAGGUAGCCAAGCUUCCAAGAAAAGCUUCUAAGGAGAAGUAUCAUACCCGUACCGAGAACCGACACAGGUGGACGAGGAGAGUAUCCUCAGACGAACGGAAGAACUCUCGUUAAGGAACUCGGCAAAAUGACUCCGUAACUUCGGGAGAAGGAGUGCUUCCUCAAGAGAUUGAGAAGUCGCAGAGAAACGGCCCAAGCGACUGUUUAUCAAAAACACAGCUCUCUGCAAAGUCGCAAGACGAAGUAUAGGGGGUGACGCCUGCCCGGUGCUGGAAGGUUAAGAGGAGUUGUCAGAAGCAAUUCGAAGCAAUGAAUUGAAGCCCCAGUAAACGGCGGCCGUAACAAUAACGGUCCUAAGGUAGCGAAAUUCCUUGUCGGGUAAGUUCCGACCCGCACGAAAGGCGUAACGAUUUGGGCGCUGUCUCAACGAGAGAUCCGGUGAAAUCUUAGUACCUGUGAAGAUGCAGGUUACCCGCGACAGGACGAAAAGACCCCAUGGAGCUUUACUGUAGCUUGAUAUUGCUCUUUGAUGUAGAAUGUACAGGAUAGGUAGGAGAUGGAGAAGAUUGGACGCAAGUCUAGUUGGAGUCGAUGUUGGGAUACUACCCUUUGUGCAUUGAAGAACUAACGUGUUACCAUGAACUGGUAAGCGGACAGUGUCUGGUGGGCAGUUUGACUGGGGCGGUCGCCUCCUAAAAGGUAACGGAGGCGCCCCAAGGUUCCCUCAGAAUGGAUGGAAAUCAUUUAGAGAGUGUAAAGGCAGAAGGGAGCUUGACUGCGAGACAGACAAGUCGAGCAGGGACGAAAGUCGGGCUUAGUGAUCUGGCGGUGCUGAAUGGAAGGGCCGUCACUCAACGGAUAAAAGCUACCCUGGGGAUAACAGGCUUAUCUCCCCCAAGAGUUCGUCGCGAGAUAGCAGGA
rnacentral:rRNA from 1 species